AAAGGGUUAACUCGGAGCAGAGGGCAAUUAGGUAAUUUCUGGCACCUGGGGAGCUCCCACGGGUGGUGUAAGCAAGGUGGGCUGAAGCCCAUAAAAGGGCUCCUAGGGAGCAGGGGAGGUUUGGCUGCAGGGGGAGAAGCUAGAAGUUCAGGGGCUGUGGCAGAGCCUGCUGGCCCAGGUCACUAGAAACUAUGAAGAGAAAAAAAGAAAAGGCAAAGAAGCGCGAGCCAUGCGUGUGCAUCCUCCUGCCUCCCUCUAGUGAGAAGAAAUCGCCGUUGCCCUCUGCCUCGGCAGCCCCAGCCUCGACGGGCUGCCAUUGUCCUGCAGCCCCCGGUCCCCGCGUUGAUGCGAUGGUGUCCCCAAGGAGGACUGCUCGGCCACAGCCGGGCCGGGGAUGGCUCGAGAUGCUCGCAUCUCUGCCAAGGCGGGUACAAAAUGCAGCUACGGAUGGAAGCAUCAGCACCCAAAGAGAAAUCCUGGAGGAAAACUGCAAACGGCAUCUCUGACCGCCUCCACGUCCCGGCAGGGACGCCCUCAGUGCGAAGCAGUGCCAGCACGCCCGGCUCACGGGCUGGGAUGCGAGGAGCGAGGGAUGCGCGGCGGGGUUCAUCUCCCCGUUUCUCUAUUUGCCCAGAAGAAGAAGAGCGGGGGGAGCUGAAGCGGCCGAGCAGCCCGCGCGGCUCCGCACGGUGAUGGAGCAGCUGCUUCGCUGCUGCUGGCUCGCUGGCAGGGUGCAUAGAUCGAUAGAUAAAACAGUUUUCACUAGCUCAUUUGCCAAGCUGCUGAGUUGGUGCCAUACCUGGGGCUGCCUGGGAAUGAGCCAGCCCCGGCCCUGGUGCUUCGCUGAGCUUGCGGAGGGGGAAAAAGGAGAGGCUGCAGGAUGCGGCCGGGCUGGGGCUCACCCUGUGCUUGUGAUGGGUCGCGUGGUGGAAGGGGCCCCGCCAGCCCCGGGGGAUGCUGCUGCGGAGUUCCCCAAGUAAUUCCAGCGGACCGUUUUUAAAAUUAUGUCUUUAAACAUAUUUAUACAGGCCACAUAUAUUUUACAUGCCUGCACAAUGCAUUUUAUGAAGCAUAUAAAAAAAGCAGAUAGAAAUUAUCUAUUUCUCCUGUACAG